GAUAUAAUAUCAAAGUUUAAUCAUUCAAGAUUAAACUCUUUUAUUUUACAUGAAUGACACAUGUCUUAAUCUAUCGAUCAGUUGUACUGCGUAUCAAUACGCAUGCUCAGUCUGAGAGCUAUAUUUAGAACACUAUAUAUAAGGAGCUGCGCGAGCCCGCUGCUUCCUUUUCGUUCUGGAACUCUAUGAGAAAGGUAGCUGCUGAUCAUAUUUUAAAAUUUUUGUUAAAAUCUUAAUCUAGGUUUUUAAUUUUGGAUGUUAAUUGUAAAAUUUUAAUGAUAAUUUUAAACCUUAACUAUCGAAGUGCUCUUUAUAUUUAAAUCUUUAUAAAUCUCGCUUUUGAUUGAAUUUUAAAUAAACGAAAAUAGAAAAUAACCACGUGGCCCUAUUUAUCCGAAAGGGACAAUGCAGUUACAAGUAUUUCAAAUUAUAGAUAGUUAAAAAAUAAGAAACGUUAACCAUUGAAUUGCUCUUUAUAUGUAUAUUUUUGUAAAUCUUGCUUUUGAUUGAAUUUUAAAUAAACGAAAAAAGAAAAUAACCACGUGGGUCUAUAUGUAUCCGAAACGCAGUACUGUUAUAACUAUCUAUCCUAAUUUAUCCUAUUAACCAAAUGCAGUUAUAACUAUUCCAAAUUAUCAAUAGUAGGUCUAUAAACAUAUAUAAACAUGGCAAGCUUUUUAGGUUGUUUGUAAUAAGACAUUUUGUUGUUUUUCUUGAUCAAAAUGCCCAAACGACGUGCGGACGAAACUGAGAGACUGGCCAGUGCUGUAAAUGAGAAAAGACGAUAGCACAGAGGACAACUGGCUCGAAUCCGAAUCAACGUCAAGAAGUUGUUCAAACUCAUGACUUUUCCCCAACUUCAGGUGAAGUAAACUUUCAAUCUAACAUUAUUUUGUCUACCCAAGUUUCUCACUCUAUUAAAGAGACAAUACGGUGUAAUAGUUAAAUAUAACUACAACAUCUUUUUCCUAUAAUUAAACCAGAUUCUGCAGGAAAACAAAAAAAUCAUUUUGAAAAUGGAGAGCUGAUCCUAUAUCUUUUCAUAUAUUCCAUACUAUAAUUAUCGCUGUACAUAUUCUAAAGCAUCCUAUCUGCUACAAUAUAUGGUAAACAUACGACAGGCAGCAACCAGGCAUAUUGGUUGAGCCGCCUACGACUCGAGCUUUAGACUGACAAAAUGAUGAUGUUAGCCACGAAACCAAUUCAAUCGGUUGGUUUUUCGAUUACCCCCCCCCCCCCCCCCCUCAUUCUCGAAAAUUAUUUUCUUGUAAUAAUAAGGGCUUUUGCGUCUAUACAAGAUCUUUUGCACAUAAGUGUAUAAAAUAGUAAGCAGAUACGACACUGAAUAUGCUUCUUCGAACGAUAUUUAAUAGAAGGCCUAAUCGUUUUCAGUCCCAGCAACUCCCCCACUGUUCCUGUAACAAGGUUCUUCUCCUUGACCAGAAUAUUUAAGGGGCCUAGGUUCAACGUCAAUUAAUAUAAGUUGACAGGUUACAAUAAAAACGAUGCUUGUUUUUUGGUUUUUUAAUUAAUCACUGGUUUAAAUUAAAUUAUACUGAUCCAAGCGCACCAAUCCAGCAGUUUUAAAUAACAAUUAUAUGAGGACAAACAUUUGGCUGGAUUGUCGGACCAUACAAAUAACCACUUAUUUCCAAUUUUCAAAUUAAUGCUGCUUGGCUCGUUCCAAAAGUCACGGGUGCCCAAUUUGUUAUUUUCACCAAGUAACAGCUUAAAUGAAUUUAUCGUACCAGUCUAUUAGCAUGUCAAAUAUGCACAAUUCGACGGAGCAUCAUUGGUUCAACGUAUAGGAAAAUAUGUCUGUUGCAAAACUGAAAAAAAAAUCAGCUUUUAACUUGUGUCCUUUUAAAUAAUAUGGCCAGGUGACUUAAAUCUGACUUACCUGGUACAUUGUAUUACCUGGUUUAAAAAAAAUAAAUAAAUAAAUAAAUAAAUGUUACCUCAGGGUUCCGCCUACCCCUGUUUCAUUUUAAAAAAUUUGUUUCUUUCUUAGAUUGCCUUGUUAAAAAAUGAUUUUUUAUGGCAAACGUUAGUUUUUGAAUCCUGUUUAGAUAUUUAACGUAUUCAAACACGUAUGUUUAGACCUUGGGGUAUCUCGAUCUGCGCAGAUCUAUUAAAAACUAUCGAUUACUCGGGGGUUGAAAUAAUUUAUGCGGAGAAAUCAAACCAUUCAUGUACCCGCAUACAAGCCAUAGACGAGCUUUGCGGUUUAUAUCUUCAAAAUGUAUACCUUUGAAGGAAAUUCAGUCUAAAGCAUGAUUACUUAACUUUAUCACAAAGGCUAUUCCUAUUGGCAGAGCUUUCUUGUGAAGAUUUUAUGAUUCUAUGUCUAAGAUUAAAAAAUAUUUUUAUUUUAUGCAUGUAAAGGGAAAUGCGCGAAUGCGCCAUGACCUGGCUCGUAAUUAUUUCUUACUGAAUCUAAUGGACUCGCAAUAUUACAUGGUAAGAAUUGGUCAGAGAAUACAUUUAUUGAACCCUACACCGAUGCGUCCGGUAGCAGUUAUUUAGGUUGUGACUGCUACUUUAAAUGUCAGUGGUGUGCCUUUAAGUGGCCAGCUUAAUGGGAGGAGCUUAUUUUUAAGGACAUCACAUAUCUUGAACUCGUGCUAUUUUUCUAGCACUCCAGUUAUGGGGCAAUGAAAUGAAAAACAAAAAGGUUAUGUUUCCGUCUUCUAAUAAAAUAUUCGUAAUCAAUAUAACACUGCCAUAUUCUCAAACUUUUGAAGUAUAAUUGGCGUAUUACCAGAUAGCGAAAUAUAGCUUUCAUGUCCUUGUAACAGUACGCUUAUAAGACUAUAAAUAGCUACACAUCUGAUAUAACGUAUGUCAAUAAGCUUGCAGAUAUGGUUGAAAACAUACGCGCACGCACGCACGCAUACACACACAAAAGAAAAAAUAUUAAGGUUAAACGUAUGCUUGAAGGUCUAAAACGGACAAGAGGGUCUAAUGACACGUCAGCCUGUAACAUAACAUAAAAAAAGUUAAUUUCAGCUUUACAAAGUUUCUGUCGCUUUCUGUAGGAAUACAUGUUAUUUGAAGCUGCAUUUUCACUCGCGUAUAUUUGUACUUCUUAGAGUAAGUGAAUCACUUGGCGGAACAAGAGGUCAUCAAAUCAUUUCCUGUCAACACAUGACAUUAUCAUGGGUUCGAAACAUGAAACAUUUGAAAACUGACCAAAGAGGUCAAGGGGCUUCUCUCGAUAUCGAAAUUAAUAAUAAUAAUAAUAAUAAUUAUGAUAAUGAUAAUAAUAAUAAACUGCUACAAGUUUUGUUAUGAUAAUAUUCACUCUUAUCUGAACUAUUGCCAACAUAAUGAUGACCCCCUUUUUUCCAUUUUGAUGGGUCUCCUCUGACGUCUUACCAGUUCAUUGUUGUUUUCAAAAAAACUGUUAAAAUUCAUUGGUCUGCAUAACAACAGGAUAGGAUGAGCUUUAGGAAUGUAUAGAGUUGGAUGUCUUAUAAAUACUAUCAAAACACAUGGUAGGUGGAGGUCUGAUACCUAUAAGUCAUAUAUAUAUUCGUUAAUUUCAGACAAUAUUAUGCAAAGUAUCUCUAUGGGUUUUCCUAAAGCCGAUGCCGGAUCAUUUAAUCGCCUUUGUGGCCUGUAAUUCUUUAAAAUGACAUUAAAUAAGUAGUUCAUAAUAUAGAAUUCUUCUCGCUAGUUCCUCUCUGUUUGCAUUUUAAGAUGUCUUUGUGCGACAUUAUUUUUCGUGUUAUCUAAUGUGUCUUAUAAUAGUUGAGUCGCGGAGCUUAAUUAGUCAAGUGAUAGCAGUUACACUUAUUUUUCUAAAUUAUAAAGAUAUUGUGAAGGAUCUGCCAAAUGCCAAAUGAUAAAGAUAAAGUUGUGUGAUGAAAUGAUAAAGAUAAAUUGUGUGAUGAAAUGAUAAAGAUAAAGUUGUGUGAUGAAAUGAUAAAGAUAAUGAUGAACUAAUAAAGAUAAUGUAGAAGUAAUAAAUGCCAAAGGAUAAAGAUAAAGUUGUGUGAUGAAAUGAUAAAGACAAUGAUGAAUGUUGAUUAGAACAUCAGAAUGUUUGUGUUGUUACGAUAAUUAUUUCUGAUUAAUGAUUAUUUGAUAAAAGAUAAUGAUGAAAUGAUGGUGAUAUCAUCAGAAUGUUUGUGUUGUUAUGAAAAUGAGUUCAGAAUUAUAAUGAUAAUACUAUAAAGAUAAUGAUGAUGAUAACAUCAUAAUGUUUGUGUUGUUAUAAAAAUGAUUUCAGAAUAAUAAUGAUAAUUUGUUGAGAUAAUGAUGAUAUGAUGAUAACGACUAAAUGAUGAUAGUCGUCGCUGUGUGAUAAUGAUAGUUUGAUAAAUAUAAUGAUGAAAUGAUAAUAUGAUUUAAGAAUGAUAAUGGUAAUUUGACAAAGAUAAUGAUAAUAAUAAUACCAGAUCGAUUCGAUGGUAUACAUAUUUAUGUAUUAUUUAUGUCAUAAUUGGUGAGGUGAUAUUUGCUAUAAGUCUAACAAACGCAAUGUCAAUUAUAAUGUUGUUAUUGGUCGGCGAUCCGCUUUUGGCAACUUAAAUGUAACAUUUGCUAUCACAGUAUAGGUAGACCGCUGGCGGAUACCUUUACCUUAAUAUUGACGAUUAAGCUCCAAAUUUCCAAGUCUCUUUAAGGUAUUGAUAAUUGGUUCCUUCUCUAUACUGGUUCCUUCAUUUUAAGCGGUGCAUAUCAGAGACUGUGUUCAACACCAGACGGUGUUAGGAAAACUAUUGCUGGGAACAUAUGGGUGGUAUGAAUAUCGAGGAUCUCGAACAAAGUAUAGCCUACUUAACUUCCUUUAAGCAGAAUGAACCCAAACCUGUAUUCGUAUUCAUUGUGGAGGCAAGGAUAUAGGCCUUAAAACAUCUGCGGCUAUUAUUGCGGAUCUCAAAAUAAUCAUAGAUAUUAUCAGAAGUAAGUUUCCAUAUACAAAACUAAUUUGGUCACAUAAUUUACCAUGGCGAUCAUGGCGUUAUAUCACGCUGACCGAGCAAGAAAACGUAUAAAACAGCUCUAUAGUCACCUAUGUAAUAAAUGGCGGGGUCACUACCUAAAAUACCGGUAUAUAAACUCUAGCCCCAAUGUUCUUUAGGUACGACGAUACACACUUGUCUCCCAGUAGCUAUAAUAUACAGUAGAAUCCCUCCUUAAGACCACCCCGGAAUUAAGACCACUCCGCUAUUAAGACCAUUUUUUAAAAGAAUGGAAUGUUCUGUUCUUUAUAUCAAUGGUUACAUGAUCCAGAAUUAAGACUACCCCGCUUAUCCACUUUUAAGACCACCAGAUUCGGUCCUAAUUCAUUGUUUUAUUCUUAAUUUGACCUCGCUAUUUAGACCACUGAUAUUAAAGUCAGCACCUACCUAGAUCUUAAAUUUGUUGUCAUCGUCUGCUUGAAUGCUCUUAUGUAUGACCUGAUGCUAAAUAAUAUUUCCGAGACCAUUUAUUCAUUCAGCCUAUCUUCCCGAUGUGAUUUAGUGACGUAAAGACAGAUUUGUCACUUUUAUCAGUAUUUGUUGUUAGUUAUUCCUAAACAAUUUAUAUAUAAAUCAGGUUUCAAUAUUAACUUCUAGAGUUUUCAACGUGGCUGGGUUUAGUCGUUAUGUUAAACCGCUUUGGCGGAAGGUACUCUCAUUCUUCGAGUCCCUUUUUGGCUGAAAUUUAACAUAACGUUUUUUCUAUUUGCGACCGUUGUCGGAGCAAAUAUGAUGUGUAUUUAAAGUUCCUAAAUUGCUUUUAUUAUUUAUACCCAGUCAUGAUGGAAAUUAUUCGCCAAAAGAAAUAAAAAAGUUAUUACAAAAUAAUGUUGUAUUUUCUUCUUGUAUAAGACUGAUUUGCGAUGUACAAUGGCCUCUCGGGUUUGAACCAGCAACCUUCAUCCAGAACACUCUUUAUUAUGCAUUCAUUGGAAAAUAAUAUCAAAGUUUAAUCAUUCAAGAUUAAACUCUUUUAUUUUACAUGAAUGACACAUGUCUUAAUCUAUCGAUCAGUUGUACUGCGUAUCAAUACGCAUGCUCAGUCUGAGAGCUAUAUUUAGAACACUAUAUAUAAGGAGCUGCGCGAGCCCGCUGCUUCCUUUUCGUUCUGGAACUCUAUGAGAAAGGUAGCUGCUGAUCAUAUUUUAAAAUUUUUGUUAAAAUCUUAAUCUAGGUUUUUAAUUUCCCGCCCUCCGCAACCCUUUUUUUCUGCUGUGCUUGUUUUACAUUUCAGGAGUCAGCUAUCACAACGGUUCGUCAUGAUUGGGACACAUGUUUUAUGCUGGGCGACGGAGUACCUAAAUAACAGUCAAUUGCUAAUCGAAUAGACAUUAGUCAAUUGCUUGAUGCAACCGUUGUCGGUGCUCUUGCAACACUAUGAUAUGAUUCAAAGGACAUCAAAAAUGUUUGUGUAAUUAUCGGACAUACAUAACACGUGAAACCGUUGUCGGUGCAUUUUAAUUGUGUUAAUUUUGCAAAAUUUCAUAUUUGACUACUCCUCUCAGCUGAAAUUUAACAUAACGUUUUUUCUAUUUGCGACCGUUGUCGGAGCAAAUAUGAUGUGUAUUUAAAGUUCCUAAAUUGCUUUUAUACCCAGUCAUGAUGGAAAUUAUUCGCCAAAAGAAAUAAAAAAGUUAUUACAAAAUAA